UACGGAGGAUGCGAGCGUUAUCCGGAUUUAUUGGGUUUAAAGGGUGCGUAGGCGGAUUUUUAAGUCAGCGGUAAAAGCCCGGGGCUCAACCCCGGCGAGCCGUUGAAACUGGCUGUCUUGAGAUGUCGAGAGGUAUGCGGAAUGCGCAGUGUAGCGGUGAAAUGCUUAGAUAUUGCGCAGAACUCCGAUUGCGAAGGCAGCAUACCGGCGGCGAUCUGACGCUGAGGCACGAAAGCGUGGGUAUCGAACAGG
rnacentral:rRNA from 1 species